rnacentral:rRNA from 1 species
UAGUAACGGCGAGUGAAGAGGGAAAAGCUCAAAUUUUGAAUCUGGUGUCUUUGACUCCCGAGUUGUAAUCUAGAGAAGUGUUUUCCGCGUUGGACCGUGUACAAGUUCCCUGGAACGGGGCGUCAUAGAGGGUGAGAAUCCCGUAUAUGCCACGGACUGCCAAUGCUCUGUGAUACACUCUCAACGAGUCGAGUUGUUUGGGAAUGCAGCUCAAAAUGGGUGGUAAAUUCCAUCUAAAGCUAAAUAUUGGCGAGAGACCGAUAGCGAACAAGUACCGUGAGGGAAAGAUGAAAAGCACUUUGGAAAGAGAGUGAAACAGUACGUGAAAUUGUUGAAAGGGAAGCGUUUGAAGUCAGUCACGUCUGCCGGAAUUCAGCCUGGCUUCUGCCUGGUGUACUUUCCGUCCGACGGGUCAGCAUCAAUUUCGACCGAGGGAAAAGGACGUGAGGAAUGUGGCUGUCUUCGGGCAGUGUUAUAGACUCGCGUUGUAUGUCUCGGUUGGGAUUGUGGAACGCAAGGCGCCUAUUGGCCGGGGGUUCGCGCCCCUCGGUACGCGCUUAGGA